AUAUAACUUUAAAAGAACUCGAAGUGUCAACAUCACGGUGUCAUAAAUAACACCGUGCAGAGCCCUAUUUAAAAUAAACAACCCUGCGGAUUGUAGUGCUGCUCCCGGCUCCCUCAAAGCAAAUUCUUUCAUAUGAAACAACAAAGUCUCAUCCAACCGCAUCGCUAAUAACUAAAACGAAACACAAAACAAGUAAGGAGGGCAUUGGUUGGAACCCGUGGGCGUCCCUGCUCCUCAAAUAACUCUGAAACUCUUCCCUCAGGUAUUCCCACUGUACCGAAUCUGGAGAUCUAAACUAGUCCUCCCUAGUCAGGUGGCGCCGGCUCCAUCUCUGAGUUCUACAGGGCAGGAGCCCCAGCCUGGCAGGGCGGGGAGAGGUGGGGUGGGGCGGCACACGGGUGCCUGUCACAAGUCAUAUCCCGUGAAAUGUGUAUGUUAAGCCUCCAAUUAAAACAGAAAGAGAAGAAAUAAUCUAUCAAAAAUCUAACAGACAUCCCAUCCCUCAGGAAAACAGUUCCAUCUCCAAUGGACAUAAAUUCUAAUUAAUAAACUUUUUUAUUAAAAAUAAAAUUAAUAAAUAAAAUUAAUAAAUG
rnacentral:lncRNA from 1 species